AGGGCUCCGAUGUCGCUGCGCAUGCGUGAGCUGAGAGAAGGUGAGAAAGGAGAACAACUCUCCUUUGCCGGAUGUGACGUCACAUUAUUGUUUGUUUUUUGCUUUUUGAAAUAGCUACUCUCGAACUCGGACACUAUAGUUCGCGCCUCGUUCGCGCGCGCAUUGUGAGCAUUCAAGUUUCGUUUUUUGCACUUGCUUAGUAGCUGAAAUUGCGGACAUUGCAGGGUUGGGCUUGAUGACAUUUGUUGCUCAGCUGCCGCGACACAUUUGGAGCAAAGCUUCUGCUUAUUUCCUUUGGCCGCACCUUAUAUUUGUUGUCUUUGUCAACAUCUGACCUGUUUCUGCCUUGUUGAAAGCAAGUGGCCACAAGUACUGCUUAGUUUGCUCAGUCUAAACCUGGUAGUGCAUCCAGUUUAGCGCCGUGCACAUGUGUGGGGCAUUUCCUUGUUCUUAUUGUGCUGAUGUGUCGUGUUGUACAUAGGAGGAAAGCCGGUCCUCCACAAUAUGGUUGUCAGUGUUGCUGAAUACAACACAGUCUUGCUGCCUUGACACGCCACAUCAUUUGACAUCUUGGGGCCACUUCACAACUGCAAGCUGAAUCUGAUGUAGGCAGUGUCAGGGUCAUGGCCCAUAUUUUAGUGAACGCCAAGAAUGCGUCCUGUGACUGAAGUUUGAGCAUUUGAGCCCACCUUUUGGAAGUGCUUUUUAUGUGCACUCACUGCAGUCAGAUGUGCUGUAUAUUGGUGGGUGUCCG